UGGCAAAAAUAUUAUGGAUUAAUUUAUUUUGCUUGUUAUUUUUAAGUGUUGCAGAAGACCACAGAGAAUGCAGAUACCCCAUCCCAGUACAGAAAUGGGAUAAUCAAGAGAAUCUGACCAACCUUCUUCACGGUAGGAACUAUUAUGCAUGCCAGCUUUAUUAUAUCUUUUCUCGUGCUUAUUCUUUCCAUACUAAUUAGCCCUCAUUUCUUUAAUCUUUCUUCAGAUGGAAACUCCCAUCAAAGGCUUCCACAGAGAACUGGACAGGGUUUUAGAAAAGAAAAUUUCUGUUAAAUUAAUUGAGAAUCUCUUUGAGGAAAAUGGAACAAACGUAUCAAGAUAAAGGGGAACAACAUAAAAAAUUUAAACAAACUCACCACUGAGCUCACAAAACCACUUUUUGCAUUCCCUGGAACCUGAGUGCCUGACUGAAAAGAAAGUGUUGUCCUGCAUAUGGAAGUUCAUCAGGAAACAGACAUUGUGCUAGAUGGCGUCAUAUAGAAUUUUGGUUGAUGCAAGGAUGCAAGGAUUUUCUCAAAAAAGCAGCCUUGACUUGGGAAUGCGUCUUGGACAAGAAGUAAAGGAGAAGGAAGAGUUUGUGAAGUUAAUGGUUAUUAUUAAACAGAAGCAUUACAAGGGCCCGUGAGACUCUGGAAGUUUGUUGGGUCAGGUACUCUACAAACCCAUUUAAUUUGCGACAGAGUAACAAAAUUUGAAGAAACUGAGAAGAGGGGAGAGUGAUAAGAUGACCAGAAACAGGCAGCGGUGGAGUCCAGAAUGGAAUGAGUUGGAGAAAGCAUUGAAGAUGAGGUUUCGACAAUAAUGAAGAUUACAUUAAUGUACAUUAAUGAAGUACAUUAAUGAAGAUUAUAGAAAAAUAGAAGUUGCAGCUGGUUGGAUAUCCAGACUUCAGCAGCUGGUGAUUUCUCCUGGGCACAGCAGCGGAUAAGAAACAAUUUUAAGGAUGCUGGUUCUUUUAUGGACUCCUUUGUGAGAUGCGGUUGCUGUUAUACAUAAUCCAUACAAUUACAUAUGAUCCAUAUGAUAGACAAGGCUAAGCACACUGCCUACACCUAAGUUUUCCCAACAGCUCCCAUCCUUGCUACCACUCAAGUACAGUUUCUAGGGAGAAAUUUCCCACGACAGUGCCUACCUCAAAGGGAUUUGUUUUUUCCUUCUCUGGCAACAUUGUUUGGUCGUUUUGAACCAGGUGGGAGGGAAUGAGCCAGGGAGCAGGGAAGAAAGGCAGAUCAGAUGAGGAGUCAGGAAAGAAAAACUGGUACUGGUGGGAAAGGAAGCUGAGAGACUGACUGGGAGAUAUUUGGUCACCUUGAUUGUACUAGGAAUGACUGUAUGAUGAAACUGGACUACUGUGAAAAGCUCAAGCAGAGGAGUGUGGAAAUGGGUAGAUAAGAAAAGCAGGACUGUGACAAGGAACUAGGGACAGGCAGUAAAAGGUAAUUGGAAAGGAAAGUUAAGACAUAUAUAGUAAAUGUCCCUCUGGGACACAAUACUUAGUGAUAGUACUGUCUUAGGGCUCAGACUUCCUGAUGUGUUUCAGGAUGCUGAGAGGUAUUACAUUUCAUGUUAACCAUGCUGUCUAGGCUGAUGUUGAUGUGUCCAUAGAUAAUUUAAUAAAGUAGAAAAUUUAAUGAAAGGGUGAUAUUUA
rnacentral:lncRNA from 1 species